CGUCUUUGGUGUGAAGUAGACCCGGGUACACACUACCAUUCCUCGUUCCCGCCUUAAACACUCCCUACUCACGGCUGCCGGUACUGUCACUUCUUUCCUCUCAGUUUUCACCGCUCUAAUUUGCCGUUUCUUGUCCUAUCUCGUCUCAAAAUUCUAGGGUUCUCACGAUCGGGAACCCUAGGAUACAAUCAUGAGUUAUUCUAGGGUAUUACCCGAUCAAAUCUACGGCGGACAAAGAUCCGGGGCGGGUACCAUCAAGAGGAUCCGGUUAGAAAACUUCAUGUGCCAUAGUAGUCUCGAAAUCGAACUCUGCGAGGGGGUUAAUUUCAUCACCGGUCAAAAUGGAAGCGGUAAGAGUGCGAUACUGACCGCUUUAUGUAUUGCGUUUGGCUGCCGUGCUAAAGAUACUCAAAGGGCGUCUAAGUUGAAAGAAUUUAUAAAAACUGGUUGCAGUUAUGCUAUUGUUCAAGUGGAAAUUAAAAAUGAAGGAGUGGAUGCCUUUCGGCCAGAAAUAUACGGUGAUUACAUAAUGAUUGAACGCAGGAUUUCUGACUCGACAAGCUCCACUGUUAUGAAGGAUCGUCAAGGUAAAAAAGUUGCUAGUCGAAAGGAGGAUCUUCGUGAGCUGGUUGAACAUUUCAAUAUUGAUGUUGAGAAUCCAUGUGUUAUUAUGAGUCAAGACAAAAGCAGGGAGUUUUUGCAUUCUGGGAAUGACAAAGAUAAAUUCAAGUUCUUUUUUAAGGCUACGCUUCUUCAACAAGUUGAUGAACUUUUACAAACAAUCAUCAAACAAUUGAAGGAUGCAUAUGCUCUUGUUGAUGAGCUGGAGACUUUGAUAAGACCCAUUCAGCUUGAACUCAGUGAGCUGCAAGAAAAGAUUAAAAACAUGGAGCGUGUAGAAGAGAUAUCGCGGGAGGUGCAACAGUUAAAAAAAAAGCUCGCCUGGUCAUGGGUGUGUGAUGUGGACAGGCAGUUGCAGGAGCAAGGAGCUAAGAUUGAAAAGCUGAAAGACCGCAUACCCACUUGCCAAGCUAAAAUAGAUUCAAUAUUGCAUAACUUGGAGAAGUUUCAGGAACACUUCUCAAAGAAGAAAGAUCAAGUUGCAUGUUUGGUGGAAAAGACAUCUGUAGUGAGGAGAAGAAAAGAUGAAUUGUGGGAUGCUUUUUGUGUGGCAACAAAAGAGAAGCUUGAGCUAGAAGAAGAGCAUGGCCGCAGCACUAAGCAAAUUCAGAAGAUGCUGAAUAAUGUUAGGGUGCUUAAAGAACAAGCCCGUGAUAUUCAGGAGAAACAUUUUAGAAAUACACAGGCUGAAGAAUCAGAAAUAGAGGAACAGAUUAAAGAACUUGAAUAUUCAGUUGAUCAUGUCAAAUCAAUACUCUCUAGUUUAAAGGAUGAGGAAAAUACUUUGUCAGAACAUGCUUCAACAGAAGCAGAUGUAAUGAAGACGAUUAAUGAUGAGAUUAAAGACUAUGAAAAGAAGCAGCGUGAGAUCGAUUGUCAAAUUCGUGAGCUUCAGCUGCAUCAAACCAACAGGGUUACAGCUUUUGGGGGAGAUGGGGUGCUUCGUCUUCUACGUGAAAUUGAGAGGCAUCAUCACAAAUUUACAAUGCCACCUAUUGGUCCAAUAGGAGCCCAUGUGACAUUGGUCAAUGGUGAUACAUGGGCUCCUGCUGUUGAACAAGCCAUUGGGAAGUUGCUCAAUGCUUUCAUUGUGACAAAUUCUAAGGAUGCUUCUGCUUUGAGAACAUGUGCAAAGGGGGCAAGAUAUAACUACUUUCCUAUUGUCAUACAUGAGUUUUCAAGACCAAGGUUGAAUAUACCAAAUCACUCGCUUCCCCAGACCAAGCACCCAACUACUCUAUCUGUUUUACGUUCUGAUAAUCCUACUGUUUUUAAUGUUCUGGUAGAUACGGUUAAAGCUGAGAGGCAAGUUCUUGUUAAAGAUUACAACAUUGGAAGAGCAGUUGCAUUUGACCAAAGAAUACCGAAUUUGAUGGAGGUUUUCACCUUAGAUGGGUUUAGAAUGUUUUCACGUGGUUCAGUCCAGACAAUUCUUCCCUCAAAUAAAAAGCUUAGAAUUGGUCGCCUUUGUGGUUCUUUUGAUGAUCAAAUUAAGGAGUUUGAAAAACAUGCAUCAAGUGUUGAUGUAGAAAUUAAACAGUGCAAGAAUAGGAAGAGGGAGUUAGAGAAAAAGCUUUGGGAUUUUGACAGCAGGCUACAUAAUGUGAAGAGAAGGCGCUUGGAUGUAGAGCGUGAUUUGACGGCAAAGAGCAUGAAACUGCGGGAUGUGCAGAAUUUACUUGUUGCUGAAGCUGGUGUGUCACCUGAGUCAACUACUAAUGAACUUCUUCAAGAAAUUUCGAAUGUUAAAAUGGAGAUCCAGCGGAAGGAAGCAUUGCUAGAAACACUCCGAGAGAGGAUGAUUGAAGCAGAAGCAAAGGCCAGAACUCUUAAGUUAUCAUUUGAGGAUUUAGGCGAGUCAACAAAAGGGGAGAUUGUAGCCUUUCAGAAAGCAGAGGAGGAGCUAACAGAGAUAGAGAAAGAAAUAAAUGCUGCACAAGCGUUGAGGGCCCAUUAUGAAAGUGUUAUGAAUGACAAGGUUCUUCCUCUUAUCAAGGAGGCAGAGGCACAAUAUCUGGAUCUUGAAAACAGUCGAAAGGAGAGUUAUAGAAAGGCUUCUGUUAUUUGUCCUGAGAGUGAAAUUGAAGCUUUAGGAGGUUGGGAUGGAAGCACACCAGAGCAACUAAGUGCCCACUUAAACAGACUGAAUCAGAGACUUAAGCAUGAGAGCCAUCAAUAUUCGGAAUCAAUUGAUGAUCUUAGGAUGUUGUAUCAGGAGAAAGAACAUAAGAUUUUAAGGAAACUGCAAACGUAUAAAGCUUUUCGAGAAAAAUUAGAUAGCAAGGAUAUUCUGGUUGUUUUCUCUGGCCCUGCUGUAGAGUGGGGGAACAGGAAAUAAGAAACUAUUGGAAAAGAUGACAAUUUGCUGGAGAAAGCCAUUUUACAAGGCGCUGGCUUUUGCUGCUGUUUGUCAUUGCCCAUGGAAGGUUUUGCUGGUUCAUUGGUCUAACUCUUCAGAUAAAUUGUUCUUGAGCAUUCUGUCUUGCUACCAAUCUUUCAUUACUUUUUCUUCUCUGCAAUUAUAAAGGUUACAACAUAAGGAACAAUUUGGCAUUGAAAGGGAAAGAGACCUGAAAAGAGAAAAGGAAAGGAGGAAAGCUUUUUCUGUUUUUUUUUUGUGGUUGGUGGUGGGCAGGGUUUUAAAGUCAACAAGUACUUUCCAAGAAAUAAGAGAACCUUUGAUGAAAAAGAUUUGUAAAUAUUUGAAAAAUUUAUGUGAUGAGGAAGGUAUGACUGUUGGAUAACCUGCUGUGAGGUCAAAGUAGGUACCUUAAAGCUGGGUAGCGUGUAUCUGGAUUUCAUUUCAGUUUUAGCUUUUUGAUGUAUAACCUUAUUAGUAUUAUAUCUGCUGAGUAGAAAUGGUAAUUUGUUGUUUGUCUUGUUUGGAUUUAGCUAUAAUUACUGGUAUGAUAUAAAGACAAUAAAGUGAGUGAUAUGCAAUAAUAGCCUGCAUUGGCACUUAUCAGCUGGACAUGUUAUUUUGUAGAUCUUAGAGGUUGAACUUUUAGGGUGGUUAAUAAUUGUAAUUUAGCAUUUGAUGUGCAACUUUUUUCAUCUGUUUUGUAGGUUAUAUAGCAUUUGGUAAUUGUUUCAUCAUAAUAUUAUUUCUCCUAAUUUUAGAAUUCUGAAAGAAAUGAUUGGUGGUUGUUUGUAGUUUUUUUACCUUUUUCCUGCUCUUUGCAUUCUUACAUUGCAGGCUUGUCAAAAAGCUCUUGACUUGCGUUGGAAAAAGUUUAAUCGGAAUGCAUCUCUUCUUAAGCGCGAGUUGACUUGGCAAUUCAAUGGCCAUUUGGGAAAGAAAGGUAUCAGCGGACACAUUAAUGUUAGUUAUGAAGAAAAGACCCU